rnacentral:tRNA from 1 species
AGGCGCGUAGCUCAGUUGGUUAGAGCGCCUGCUUGACAGGCAGGAGGUCAACAGUUCGAGCCUGUUCGUGCCUACCA